UGUGCUGUGCGUACAACAGGGUUACCAGAACUCUGUUGUUACAUCCAGAAUAAAGAACUAUUCUUUCGCAAGCCAGCCUCAAGUUUUACCUGCUCUUAACUACACUGGAAUCUACUCGGUCAACUGUGUCUCCAUUUGGAAUUAAGGAGACAAUUUUGAUAGCAUUCUUCACUGACAAAAACAUUUCAUUAC